GACGAACGCUGGCGGCGUGCUUAACACAUGCAAGUCGAGCGGGCGUAGCAAUACGUCAGCGGCAGACGGGUGAGUAACGCGUGGGAACAUACCUUUUGGUUCGGAACAACACAGGGAAACUUGUGCUAAUACCGGAUAAGCCCUUACGGGGAAAGAUUUAUCGCCGAAAGAUUGGCCCGCGUCUGAUUAGCUAGUUGGUGAGGUAACGGCUCACCAAGGCGACGAUCAGUAGCUGGUCNGAGAGGAUGAUCAGCCACAUUGGGACUGAGACACGGCCCAAACUCCUACGGGAGGCAGCAGUGGGGAAUAUUGGACAAUGGGCGCAAGCCUGAUCCAGCCAUGCCGCGUGAGUGAUGAAGGCCCUAGGGUUGUAAAGCUCUUUUGUGCGGGAAGAUAAUGACGGUACCGCAAGAAUAAGCCCCGGCUAACUUCGUGCCAGCAGCCGCUGUAAC
rnacentral:rRNA from 1 species